UACGAAGGGAGCUAGCGUUGUUCGGAAUCACUGGGCGUAAAGCGCACGUAGGCGGAUUUCUAAGUCAGGGGUGAAAUCCUGGAGCUCAACUCCAGAACUGCCUUUGAUACUGGGAAUCUCGAGUCCGGGAGAGGUGAGUGGAACUGCGAGUGUAGAGGUGAAAUUCGUAGAUAUUCGCAAGAACACCAGUGGCGAAGGCGGCUCACUGGCCCGGUACUGACGCUGAGGUGCGAAAGCGUGGGGAGCAAACAGG
rnacentral:rRNA from 1 species